UAUAGCACCAGUCGAGUUUCCGAUGUAAGAUGGUGAAGGUUGCGUUGCCUUUUGCUCUUCUCUUGGUGUGCAAUCUGGUGUUUAAAAGUGCUUCCCAGCGCACUCACGGAUAUCAAGUUUGUCCUCCAGGAAAGGUUUUUGAUAACGCGAAGAGUAAAUGCAUCUCUUCCUCGACAGUUGACACGGCAACCUUUAAUACAAGCAGCAGUCAAACGACCUUACAAAUUUCAAACGCGCCAGCAAGGAAAUGCCAAAAUGAUGAAAUAUUCCAUCCCAGAUUAAAAAGAUGCACCAAAGUGGUCGGUGGUUGAGUCAAAAUUUGAGUUCCUGCUAACUGCUUCAAGCCAACAUGAGACAUACAAGAAAUUGAGCUUAUACAAGAGAACUGUGUACAUCAUUAUUGUGGCAAUUAAUUGGAUAGAGUUUAUUAUUCUCAUUUGAAACGCACAACACUCUGUUGCCUAAGUUAAUAAUAAUGCUUCAACUUUUAUAUUUAAAUUAGUUAUGCUUAAAUUAAAAAUUAAGAUAUGAAAGUUGAUUGAUGUGUAGUAGUACGCCAAAGCCGCUAUAGCUUUUAUUUCACUUAUUUAAAAAGCAAAUACUCCAAAGGGACUUGUAAAUUAUCAAGCUAAAUUAAAAAAAAUGAAUUGGACAUUAUUGUGUAUUGUGUGCCACAAAUUUGGAAAACAUUAAUUAGGGUUAUAGUUUUUUUUAAACCUCGUCUGCUCAGCACAUCCCGUGGCUAUGAGCUCACCAGAUCCGAAUAAAACCUCCCGAGUGUCUUAAUUUGGCAAUCUUUUCACCUCCGCGCACCGCGAGAUCUUUGAUUUAAACGCCAAACAUUUCCCCUUAAGCCACUGGAAAGGUGCGAAAACCAGCUAAAGUGCCGAGUCGACGCCAGUGCGACUCCCAGCCUGCUGACAAUGAGUUAAUUUAGCAUUUCAAAACACUCAACUUUCCACCUUUGCCAUUUCUCUGGCAGUGAGCAGCCAGUAUAAAGUGCUUACAUACCUGAUUAGCAAGUUUGCCACCCACACAGACGAAGCAAUGUUUGAAAACCGCAUGUCAUUUUGUGUUUGCACAUGUGAUACAUUUACAAACAUUUAAAAUGUUCAUUGCGAUUUUGUUCUUUUCAAUUAAAUCAUCACUAGAAAUAGUCAUAUUCGGUUAAAAUUUUACUGAUCAAGAAGUGUUGUUUGUAAAAUGAAAACACAACCUCACCAUCAAUGAGCGCAGUUGUGAGUUGAAGCGAGAUGGAGAAGGUGGCGUUUCUCUGCAGCCUGCUGUUGUUGUGCGAACUGAAAAUGCUGGAAGCCAGGACAGACGAUACAAAAACAGAAGGAGUUGUGCUUGCUGCAUUCCAAUCAAAACGUUGCCCCCCUGGAGAGGCCUUCAGCACUUUCUUCAAACGUUGCGUGGAAAGUUUUGAUGAGCACCAAGAAUCAACGGAGAGCACAGUACUGAAUAUAGCUGGAGCACCAAAACGAAACAAGUGCAGAAAUGGUCAAGUGUGGAACAGCCGUCUUAAUAGAUGCGUCACAGUGUUUUAAUUGUUUCAUAUGCAUCUGCAAAUUUCUACUUUCGUGAUAAUUGUUAAUUUAAUUAGAAGUAUCUAUAUUAUGUCAAUUGUUUUCUCAUCCCAGGCUUUUGUAAAAUAAAAAUGGUCAUCAAUACAUUUUUAUUCAAUUAUUUCGCUUUUUAUAUGUUUUUAACAAACGCCCUUUUCGCAUGGUUUAUUAAUGUUCCAACAAUAUAUCGCUAACUGAAAACAGAGUAAUUUCUAUAUUCAAAUUUAGAUGAUUUUAAUUUAAGUAAGGUAUUUAAAAUCACACAUAACUAUAUUUUUUUCAGAGAUUCAGCUAUUUUGCAUUUUAUAAAGAGCCACGAAUAUGAAAAAGAAAGAAAUACGCAGCGUUAUAAUAUAAUUUAUUCACGACUGUACAUCAGUAUUUUUUUACUACUAAAUAAAAAUACUUAUAUGACGAGCGGGGUUGAGCACUUUGAAAGCACGUUGAAAAACUUUGAUAUUUUUGCACAUGCCAGAUGACUAAGAAAGAGCUUACAGUUUAUAAGCUUGUGUGGGGCUCCCGCGAGUGAGAAGGUUCCAGUGAAGAGUUGGAUUGAGAUGGAGGCGGUUGUGCUGCUCUCGUGCCUGAUUUUACUGGGUAGCUUGUCCCACGCAAAUGAGUCCGACGGUGUUGCCCUAUCGUUGCUAAAUGCCAAACGAUGUCCCAGUGGUCAAAUCUACAUUGCAAAAUUCAGACGUUGCGAAGAAAAAUUUGAGGACUUUGAAGAUCAGGACAGCAGCGCAGUUUUGAAUUUAGGAAACGCACCAGACAGAAAAUGCAGCAACGGAAAAACUUGGGACAGUCGUCUGAAAAGAUGCAUCACAACAAUUAAAUGAUAUAUCAUAAAAGUUAACAAUCUUAUGAUCAAUCUAACUUCAUGGUCUGUUUAAGAAAGUGUUUAUUUUUUCAUCUAAUAGCAGUUCAUUAACUUAAGUUUUUAAUUGAUAUUGACAGCCAAUCUGCAACAAAUUUUUGCUCAAGAAAGUUGUAGCUGUUCAAUCGUCAAUAAAGUUUAAGAUAUUUUAUAGCCAAAUUAAUCGUGUUUUUUCACAAGCACUAAUUUAAAUUGAUUUAAGAGAGGCAGGUGGAGUUGGCUAGAAACGGUACUAAGCCUUUAGUAAACAGAGUGUCAGUUGAGCGCCAGCGCGAGAUGGAGAAGGUAGUGUUUUCUUUAAGCCUACUUUUACUGCUGUGCGCCUUGCUGUUAAAAAUCAAAGCAGAUGAGUUAGAAAGUAUUUCACUGGCAGCUUCAAAUGUCAAACAGUGCUCUACUGGGGAAAUUUACAGCAUUAAUUUAAAACGUUGUGUGGAAAAAUUCGAGGAACAAGAAGAGAAUGUGAACAGCACCACUUUAACGAUUGUCAAGCCUCCCUAUAGAAAGUGCACAGGCGGUGAGAUAUGGUCCACAUUAUUGAAGAGGUGCAUUGCGACAGUCGGAUGAGCAGAAUUAUUUGCGACUAUUAUUUUGAAUUUGAAGAAAGACGGUAUAUUUUCAGUCAUAAUCAAACUUUCUUAACUGCCUACAUGAUGCAAUGUGUGGCAAAAACCUUUUCCUACAAUCUUCAUUUAUUUUGAAAAGUAAAGUUUUUUUCUUUAUGUUCCUUUUGAUAGUAACCAAACUGAAAUAAAGGAUUUAUUUUAAAAUGGA